rnacentral:rRNA from 1 species
CACUCUAGAGAGACUGCCAGGGAUAACCUGGAGGAAGGUGGGGAUGACGUCAAAUCAUCAUGCCCCUUAUGCUUAGGGCUACACACGUGCUACAAUGGGUAGUACAGAGGGUUGCCAAGCCGUAAGGUGGAGCUAAUCCCUUAAAGCUACUCUUAGUUCGGAUUGUAGGCUGAAACUCGCCUACAUGAAGCUGGAGUUACUAGUAAUCGCAGAUCAGAAUGCUGCGGUGAAUGCGUUCCCGGGUCUUGUACACACCGCCCGUCACACCACGGGAGUUGGAGACGCCCGAAGCCGAUUAUCUAACCUUUUGGAAGAAGUCGUCGACGGUGGAAUCAAUAACUGGGGUGAAGUCGUAACAAGGUAGCCGUAUCGGAAGGUGCGGCUGGAUCACCUCCUUUCUAAGGAGA